UCUAGCUCCUGCAUACCCUUGUGUUUACCCGCUCAGUGGGCUGGUGCCACCGCCUCCCGCUGCUUCUACACUUUUUCAUUGCUCCCUCCAACACACCUGUGAACCUGCUCUCCUUUGAUGCCCAUGGGGGCUUUGCUGUGAUCACUCCCGGUGCUCUUAUCUGCUGCUCAAUAUGUUUUUACAAGGAGUGAUAAGACACACAGCACUGGUGCCAAAUCACCGUCCCAGAUGUCCGUGGAGGAAGGAAGCAAAUGCUGACAACAAUGAAGUAAACGAGUCCACCGGUGUAGCAGCAACUUUUGGCACGGACGAUAGCUUGCCUUACAGGGAAAACAGCUUUCCGCAGAAGCCUAAGCAUAUGGUCGGCUCCUGUUUCGACAACAAGAUGCCGUGUCACCUUGCUAGCCACCUGUAGCCGGCGACCAGCCGACAGAGAGGGGGAUUUAAGACGGUGGAGGGGCAUCUCAUACACACUCUGGAGACCCCCCCCCCAGAUGAUGCAUCAGGAGACACCAGGGGUUUUAUUGUGGCAGCAUAUUCAAGUCCAG
rnacentral:lncRNA from 1 species